UCUUUCCCUCCCGGAGCGUUGGCGGCGCUGCCUGAACGGAGCCCGGGGGGAGAGGAGGGGGAGCGGCGAGGGGCAUCCCGGCCGCGGGAGGGGCUGAGGCGGCGCUGCCUGCGAGCACGGGGCGAAGUCGUCGUCCCGUCCUGCCCCCCCCCCCCCCGCCGGGGACCCCGCGGGGCGGCGCUGCUUUGCUUGUUGGGUUGGAGUUGGCUUUGUAAACGAAUGGCGUUUCCUCUCGCGAGUGACGGGCGGUAGGAUGAGAGGGAAUGGCCUCGAGCUGCGCCAGGGGAGGUUCAGGUUAAUGGGGAACACAAUGAGAGAAGCAGAAAUAAGGAAGCUCUUUGCUGUCAACCUCCUAUGUGUUUUUUCAAUUAUUCUGACAGCAGUUGUUCCAACUGUCUUCUGGGACGGAUUCACAGUUGUGGGAACACACCUCACGUGGCUGCGUAUUUGUUCUGUUUCUGUUAGUGCCGUUAGUAUAGUCUUGCACUUAAUCCUUAAGCCAAAUUUGUCUCCUAAGAGAAGUUCAUUUGCUCACAAGAUAUCCAGAUUUCUAAAAUGCUGUAUAUACUUUUUCAUGUCUUGCGUACUAUUUCAUGUGAUUAUUGUUCUUUAUGGAGCACCUCUCAUAGAGUCAGUGACCGAGACAUUUUUGUUUGCAGUUCUGUUGUCUACUUUUACUACUUUACAAUGCUUGUGUAUGCUGGGACCAAACUUACAAGCAUGGAUCCGGGUCUUUAGUAAAAAUGGAGCAAUGUCCAUCUGGGAAAGCAGUCUACAGAUUACCACCAUGUGUGGUAUACUUGGAGCUUGGUUUGGAGCAUUUCCUAUUCCUCUUGACUGGGAUCGGCCUUGGCAGGUAUGGCCCGUUUCCUGUUCCCUUGGAGCUACCUUUGGCUAUAUGGCUGGUCUGAUUAUUGCACCUCUGUGGAUACACUGGAACCGGAAGCAGCUUACUUACAAAAGCAGAUAACUGGAGCAAAAAGAGACAAGGCUUCUUGGGGAUACAGUGUGCAUUGCUAAGGAAAGCAGAAUUGUCCUGUUGUGGCUUAGGUUUCCCAGGGAGUGCAAAAGCUGCCAAUUUGGGCCAAGCAUCUAUUUUUAAUUUAUAGAAAAGGCUGCAAGAAUGCAGGGACUUCCACUUUCCACGGAAAGGGAACUGACCCCAGUUUUGGUGACUGCAGCCAAGAACAAUUGGGAUUUUCCAUUCUUUCAAACAUGGGCAAUCAAAGGAAAUUCACUCCGGCACAGAAGAUCUAGUUAGCUCCUCUGCAGAACCUGCUCUUUGGAAAGAUGGGUUCCUUCACUUUAUUUUUACAGAAGAAUAUGGUCAUUAAUAAAUCUCUUCUCAUAGGGAAAACAGACUAUGGAAUAGAGGUGGUUUAAUAUUGUUAUGCAUAUCAUAUCAGACAUGCCUUUUCCUUUACUAAUAAUAUAAAUCUUGCCCAGAUCAGAAAAAAGUGAUCAGUUAAGUGUCCUGUUCCCUUCCACUUUUUAUAAAUAAAACCCCAAAAGCAUGUUUUCCAGUUCAGUGUUGAGCAACAGCUCUUAGAAGACUAAGCCUUUGCACUACUCCUCAAGAUUAACUCCCAUCACACAACUUCUCAGAAGAUGAAGUGCCAGAGUACCAGUGCUAUCAUGUGCACACUGAAUAAAUACAGUGAAAAAGUGUCUGGAAUUAAAGGAGUUCCUAACAGUCUUUUGCACCUCAUUUUAUGUCAAGUCCUAACUUGUCAGGGCUAACAGCUUCCAUUGAAGAAUGUGGUAAAACGCGCAACAAUUUCACUGCAACAGAUGUUAUGGCAGUUGAAAAGCUGCCUAGGGUUUCUCCUUCUUAAGUGAGGAAUAUGUCAGCCAUCUCACUGCCCAUGGGCUAUCUGUUGGUCGCAACUAAAGAUCCAGCCCACGUCAUGCCUGGCAUCCAUCCCUCAUUGACACUGCCACUGCAUCUAUCUCUAAUUGGAAAUUAAACCAAUAAGGAACUUACAUUAAGUCCUACAGAUGAUUUUUUAGCAUUCACAGCUUCAUCUAAUUUAGAGCAAAAGCUGCCUGAGGCACUUUCAGUCUGUGUUUUAUUAAUCUGAAGAAAUAAAUUCACUUAGGAUGCUGAUACGUGUUCCUUUGCUCUGGAGAAUAAUGCUGCCACCUGCAUUUUAUACACACACCAGAGAGUGCUGACCGUCGCAAAGAAUUAUUACACAUGUGCCACAACAUGGAUGCAGCUCAGAGCACAAUGAAAACAGCCACUAAUGCAUCAAAUGGCACAACCUCAUCAGAACUGCUGGAAGUGUCACAUAGCAUUCAGACACAUUUUUCUUAGCACAAAUCAUCCAGUCACCAGUCCAAACCAGAAGACUGCAUUUAAAACCACAGAACAGAGUGACAGAAAGAUACAAUUCGCCUCCUCUCUGCCCUCAUUUUGCAUUUUUUCUAAUUAGAGGAGGGACGGUUUUGUUAGAAAUGUAACUACUCAUUUGAAGAUUUUUUAAAAAAGUCCUAAAGCUCUGUUCCAAAGCAUCUGUUUUAGUAAAGUUGGUUUUUAUAAUUCCCAAUAAAAUUGCAGGAUUUGGAAACAAGUGUGCUUUAUAUUAUUUUGUAAAGCCCAGAUUCUUAAGAGCCUCAUGAUGACAUAAAGAAAAAUCACAUCCUAUUCACCUUUAAAUGAAAGAUAAAUUUCUGAUCCCCCAGAGAUACAGAGAAAACUUGAAUACAUGAAGCCCAAAGGCUUAACGAAAUCCCUCAUCCAGCAAAGGGCAAAAGAAAGUCUCAAACCAUUCUGAUUUCCUAGGUUUUUUAGGUAGUAGUGUCUGCAGAAAAGAAUAGCUGACUCACCAUUUUGAAUGCCUGGGACUGACAAAACCUCAAUAUUGCUGAAGUAAGUGGUACAUCUACUUUAUCCAUGUGUUCUCAGUAAAGGAACUGGAACAAAGCUUACUGAAAUCAGCAAUAGGGUGCUGGCUAAUACAGAGCUUUAGGACACACAUUAUAAGACCUUUUGUGCUGUAGGUCUGCGCUAUGGAGGCAGUACUCAGUUCUAAAUUGUCUUUAGUUUGUUUUAAGAUGUAGUUUGGAGGAGGAAUCAAAAGUUAGGCUAUGAAUGAAAAAUAGUGCAUUUUUUUAUACUUUUCCAAAAUAUAAAAAGUUCUUUGCAAAGGUAACAGAUUUCAGACAAGAAGUCCGACUAUGGACCUGCCAAAAAUUCCUAGGCUCUCCUGUGUUCUUAGAAAAAUUCUGCCAGCUUGUGCCAUUCCAUCACUCUUGCCUCCUGCAGUACAGCUGUAGAUUAUGUGACACGCAACUGAGUGCAGGUGCACACACCAUCCUAAACUGAAGUCAGGACAUAAGAGGGUAUGCAAUCAUAUUGUGCUAGAAGAGCAACAAUUAUAGCUUGUAUUCGGUGUUGCCUUUUUAGCUGAUGGUGGUUGGAUAGCAGCAAAAGUUGCCACUGUAUCUCAAGGAAAAUAAAUGAGUAAAAUUCAGAGAGAGAGCUCUGUCACAAACUAAAGAAUAUCUACUGAUUCUUAAUCCAAGAAAAAGAGAUUUUUACUUGACCAAACAAUGUUUAGCAAGCAUCUCUCUGGGUCAGUACUCUUCAUGCGUUUUUAGCAUAUCAAAAACUGAAGUUUCAGAGAACCUCUCAAACUUGGUUUGCUUUGGGUUUUUUACUUUGGUUGGCCACUAGCAUACUGUUAAUUUGGGGAAGACAUUCUGGAUCUACAUUUUCAAAUACAUCCCUUGCAUUUGAUUUUAACACAACUCUGUGCUGCUAUUCAGAAGUGCCGUGGGGCUUUUGACACUCUGAAAAUGAAAUAUAACUGUCUUGAGUUUCCCAUAUAUAUUUAGUGGAUGCUUUUGGGAACUCAGAGCAGCAUUUCCCAUCUGGCAAUAACAAUACUUACCUAUCUUUCUAGGAAAGAUACAACACUUUCAAAGUGCAAGUCACAGGUCACAAUGAAGUGUCUGAAUGUAAGCUUUGCACUGCUAUUAUUCUUGUUGGAGGGCCAUUUUUAAAAGCUGAACUGAAUGUAAAAGUCCCUUUCCUUUUAAAGGGAAAGCCUGUUUUUGCUUGAACACUUGUUUAGAGAACUCUUGACACAGAUUGUUAACUCGGGCACUUCACUUCCUUCUUUUGCCUUGAAAAUCUUGUAUUUCAGAGAGGGAAUCUAGGCAUAAUUUUAUUUUAUCUGCAUACAUCCGAUUGUUGCUGCAGAGCCAUUAAACCUACGUGGCUGGCAACAUCCCUGAGCAUGGAGUGUCUUCAGCAGAGGCUGAGCUAUUCAUAGGCCAGCAUGCUGGCCAGCCAGGAGUGAGCUCAUGAGCUCACAGCCUCCCAGCGCCAGCUGCCAGCUCGGCUGGAACAACAUAAAGAGAGGGAGAGAAAAUGCAAGUAGGAAGACUGAGGCGCAGGGGGGAAUGGAAAGGGGACAGGAUGUUAAUUGCUGACAUUUCAUUUUUAGAUCUGCUAAAAUAACACCAUAGGUUUUGGUGUUUACAACUCUACAGUAAAAGGUGGCACACUUUGCAUGGUGUAAGACUGUGUUUGCAUGUUCCAGGCUUGCAUUUGGCACUAUGGCCAUGUGGGAGAUGCAACUCGGAAGGAGUGAUAUGGUCUGAGGAGGGACACUUCUGUUUCCCAAUGGACCAGACAAAAUGAUCAGCAAUUCCCUCUCCUUUCAGUAGGAUACAGAAGUGAUAGCUACUAGACCAGGGCUAUAUACGAAAUCCCAGAGAAAGACUCAGCAGGGAGUACAAAGAUCACUGAUAUUUCUUGUGUUAUUUAUAGCAACCACCACAAGUUUGGUGACAAUCCAUUUUAAUCACCACACCUCCACCCCUCUUUCCCACAGGCACACUCACGGUUAGAACCGUUAGGUUUUACACCUUGCCGUAACGCAGGCACUGAUCUUGCUAAUAUCUAAGUUAGUUUUAAACACUUAAGCAGCCUGACCAACUUUAAUAUAAACUGCUUUUAACAUCAGUGGCUCCGUUCAAAAAAUCCGUGUACCUAAAUGAAGGUGGCUGCACCUGCAACCAGAGUAUCCAGCAGUAUCUGAGCUGAGAGGAACCAAGAACUUCUUCUACUCUUGUGCUGAGCACAUUUUGUGGCUACUCUUUUGGUGACAGUUAAGAAGGCACCAAGAGCUUUACUGUAUCAGACCUACAGCUUGUCCUAUGCGCAUUAGGGCCAUUAAGGCAGAGAAAUAGAAGUGGAAAGCAAAGGAACAGAGUUUACCUCGGCUUUGUCCAACCAGGCCACACGAGUAUCACAACAGUAAGUGAUGCUGAGGGAUAUAAAUAUUAUUAGGCACUGCACCUUAGUAAGAUUCACCCUGCUUCUUCUGUACUGGCUCUGCACUACCCAGAUGCUGGCUUGGUGCCAAACAUGCACCAGACAACUACUCCGUGCCUCAGCGUCUCUUCCCAGGGCAGCAGACUCUGCUCCUGCAUCCCCCCAAUCCUUCCUCUAAGUCCUGACAGUCCUUUACAGCCAAGACACACAAGCAGAGCAAGGCUUCCAUCUGUAUAUGGUCAGCCCAUACUGGAGGGAAGGGACCAAACUAUGAGUGAAAACCCCACAGCAAAAGGGAUGAAGAGGGGGAUGAACGCUGAUGGAGCGAAAUCCCUGAGUGGUCACUUCUGUGUGUCCCCUCACUUAUCCUGGUCAUUUGGAAUGUGGGAGGGGGACACAGAGUGCACCUCUUCAUUAGUGUUUACAGACAGUUCUCCAACAGCUUAAGUAUCAGGAAAGCUGGCAGGAUUGCUUUUGGUACUAUAGAAGAUCAAAAUUAUAAUCACUCAUCACUAGUUCAAAAGCACUCUAACACAGUGAAGUUAACGGUUCCCUGAUGAAGCCAUGGUUCUCUCCCAGGAUGAUUUUGCCACAAGCCUCUGCUCAGUGAAGAGCAGUACUGACACACAGUUAGUCUCCCAGAGCAAGAGAGCCAACUGCAAAGCCAAAGGCAUCCAAUGUCAAUAUGACAAGCAGAUCACGUUUAAACUUCAGUGCAUUGUUGCUCCCAGCUCCAGGCAACAUAGGUAAGUGCCUGGGAAACCAGGACCCACUCCAAACCUACCCCGUCUCAGCACAUGGCUAUGUGCAACAACAAGGCUAAAAGGAGCUGCCGGCUCCACCUCUGGGAGGAAUUGCUGAAGGAAUGUCCUCUCGGACACCACUGGCCCUGAAUUCCCACCCGCGUCCCUGGCAAGGGAGCCUGCCUCCACAGCUGCAAACCCAAAGGGGCUCCAAGAGCCUCCACUGCCCAGCAGCUGUACUGGCUAUUUUCUGCUGAACCAGGGCCUCAGUAUUUUCAGCCAGGGAAAAGCCUGCCUGAACUCUCUCUCACACACACACAAAGGGGAAGAAGGCCUCUCAUCCUGCAGACUGAAGUUUGUGAACUGCUAGUGUCAUUUUCCCCUGCUAUAUAUAACCUAGAAAAAAAAGAGAUUUUAAUAUAUUUAUUCUCAACCUACUUUAGACUUGCAAAGGUAUGAGGCAUUAUGUCAUUGGUGUAGUUACUACACAUGAUCUUGUGUGUGUUGUGAAGAGGCGAGCUAGAAAUGAGUAAUGGAUGCCAUGAACUCAGAAGCUUGCAACUCCUCUGCCAAAGAGAAGUCUGUCACAAGCUGCUGAAUACAUAACCACGCAAGUUAGAGACCCACAGGCUGGUGAGUCACUAUUUCAGGCCGAUGAGCCUGCUGUGCACCAGCUAGAAACCAAAAAGUUUUUAAUUACUGCUCCGUUACAGGCUUUCUGCAUGGAUUUGGUAGGUCACUGUCUGAACCUCCAUUUACCCCUUUGCUCUUCUUCCCCACACCACGAAAUAAGGUCUGUAGAUGGUACCCAUGUGCUCUGCCCAGAGCCAGGAGUAUAAACAUGCUGAAGAUUGUGAACUGCUUAGAUACCACAGUGAUCACACACUGCCAAGUUUUGAUAAAAUGAUGCUAUCAGGCCAGUAUUCUACUAUACAUAACUAUUUGAGGGUGACAGAACUAGAAGUAAAAGCAUUGGUGCGUGCUGGCACAGAAAUCCUGACUUUGAGCAGCAAAGAAUCCAAGCUGUACGGAAGUCUGAGCAAGCAGCAGGCAUGUACCACACUGCAGCAUGCUGUUUCCUCAACACAAAGAAGGCACCAUUAACUCAUGUCUUUUUUGCUCUUUACUGUAGAUAUUUAACCUUUAAAGUAAGCUUUCUGUUACUGCAUAGCUCUGGGAAGAUGAGCUUGUCAGCACACUCUCUGAGGAAGCUGCUAAAAGAAUGAAAUUGCUGGACUGGCAUCUUCACAGACUCCCCAUGAGCAUCUCCUUAGUUGUGGUGGAUGCUGGGAUGGGCCCCUAUGGGCAGUUCCAGAUGUGCACCAGUUCUCCAAAUAUGCUGAAGAGCAAUGGAGAUAACAGUAAAGAUUUUAUAAGCAUUGCAGGUCUGACUGAAAUUGGCGGAAUUCCCAAGAAUAGAUACAUUUGUAAAGGUAGCCUCAUUAAAACACGCUAUGUGAGCUAAGGCUCUUCUGAAUCAGGCCAGCAAGAUCCGGUUCUGGAUAGAUCAGAAACUGCUCUGGAAUUUAAGCUUAAGUUUUCAGCUUCUCAAGAGUUUGAAGGGGGG